rnacentral:lncRNA from 1 species
AAGUCAAAGGGGGGAGAGAAAGAAAAAAACAGAAAGGAAACACCACCACCACCACCCCAAACUUCUUGUGCUACACUGCUCCCUUCUAGGAGUCACGUCUACAGCCUAUGGUACAGACCCUCCAUCAAUGUCAACCAAGGUAUUAGUGUGUGGGACAUCUACCUUAGGGCCACAUACUCUUAAAUUCAGUGCUCUUGCUCCAAAGCACUAUGGCAGAGAAACAGGUAUCUGGGCAUCGCUGCUUAAUGGGGCAGGAGCAUAGUUAAUGCUGGCUCUAAUCACAAACUAUGUGGUCUUGUCAUGCUACGCUCUUAACUACAUACAGCCCCUCUCACCUCUGAUGUAAUCUCUUGCCUUAUACUUAAUAAAACAGAAAAGGCUGGUUUAACUUUGUAUGGGGGUGGGGAAUAUUUAAGGAUGUUUUUUCUCCAGAACAAAUCUCAGUGUCUCAAGAUAGCAACAGACUGUUGACCAUUAGGUAUCCAAGACUUAAAAAAAAAAAAAAAAAAAAAAAAGAAAAAAGGGGGAAAAGGGGGAAAAAAGAAAAAAAGGGGAAAAAAAGAGUUAAGCCAUCAAAACCUUUUCAACUGCAUGAAUUGUGUAUGUUAAGAGGCCUGGAAACUGCUUUAUGUGUUUCACCUCCUGCUGUGCAGUUUUUAUGCUGACAGGACCGAAGAUAGCUUUUCUACCUCAUAAUAUCACAGGGAAAAUUCUAUAUUAAACUAAGACAUCUCUGAUCGUAUGCUAAAAGUGCACAUGUAACAUGCUCAUGAUAAGAUCGUUUAUCAUUAGAGACAAAUUUAAAAUAUAGUUGUUUUGAUUUGUUCCAGAUUCCAAAAAAUCAUCUAUUUGUUGAACUAGUUCAUAUAUGCCUUGAACUCUCAGUGUAUAGGAGUUGCAAAGCACAAGGUGAAACUUGUCUGAAAACAGAUUUAAUUUGUUUGUGGUGAAAAAUGCAUGUGAACACAUUUUAUAUGACUGCUACUCACACCUGGAGCAUCAGCUCAGGCAC